GCAUUGUGGACCCACCUGAUCCCAUGCCGAACUCAGAAGUGAAACACAAUAGCGCCGAUGGUAGUGUGGGGUUUCCCCAUGUGAGAGUAGGACAUCGCCAGGC
rnacentral:rRNA from 1 species